rnacentral:rRNA from 1 species
GAUGAACGCUGACAGAAUGCUUAACACAUGCAAGUCUACUUGAAUUUGUGUUUUUAACUUAGAUUUGGGUGGCGGACGGGUGAGUAACGCGUAAAGAACUUGCCUCACAGCUAGGGACAACAUUUAGAAAUGAAUGCUAAUACCUAAUAUUAUGAUAAUAGGGCAUCCUAUAAUUAUGAAAGCUAUAUGCGCUGUGAGAGAGCUUUGCGUCCCAUUAGCUAGUUGGAGAGGUAACAGCUCACCAAGGCGAUGAUGGGUAGCCGGCCUGAGAGGGUGAUCGGCCACAAGGGGACUGAGACACGGCCCUUACUCCUACGGGAGGCAGCAGUGGGGAAUAUUGGACAAUGGACCGAGAGUCUGAUCCAGCAAUUCUGUGUGCACGAUGAAGUUUUUCGGAAUGUAAAGUGCUUUCAGUUGGGAAGAAAGAAAUGACGGUACCAACAGAAGAAGUGACGGCUAAAUACGUGCCAGCAGCCGCGGUAAUACGUAUGUCACGAGCGUUAUCCGGAUUUAUUGGGCGUAAAGCGCGUCUAGGUGGUUAUAUAAGUCUGAUGUGAAAAUGCAGGGCUCAACUCUGUAUUGCGUUGGAAACUGUAUAACUAGAGUACUGGAGAGGUAAGCGGAACUACAAGUGUAGAGGUGAAAUUCGUAGAUAUUUGUAGGAAUGCCGAUGGGGAAGCCAGCUUACUGGACAGAUACUGACGCUGAAGCGCGAAAGCGUGGGUAGCAAACAGG